CCUACGGGAGGCAGCAGUGGGGAAUAUUGCACAAUGGGGGAAACCCUGAUGCAGCGACGCCGCGUGAGUGAAGAAGUAUUUCGGUACGUAAAGCUCUAUCAGCAGGGAAGAAAAUGACGGUACCUGACUAAUAAGCCCUGGCUAACUACGUGCCAGCAGCCGCGGUAAUACGUAGGGGGCAAGCGUUAUUCGGAUUUACUGGGUGUAAAGGGAGUGUAGGCGGGAGGGCAAGUCUGGAGUGAAAUCCCAUGGCUUAACCAUGGAACUGCUUUGGAAACUGUGCAGCUAGAGUGCAGGAGAGGUAAGCGGAAUUCCUGGUGUAGCGGUAAAAUGCGUAGAUAUUAGGAGGAACACUAGUGGCGAAGGCGGCUUACUGGAAUGUAACUGACGUUGAGGCUCGAAAGCGUGGGGAGCAAACAGGAUUAGAUACCCUAGUAGUC
rnacentral:rRNA from 1 species